rnacentral:rRNA from 1 species
UACGGGAGGCAGCAGUAGGGAAUAUUGGGCAAUGGGCGAGAGCCUGACCCAGCCAUGCCGCGUGCAGGAAGAAGGCUUUCUGAGUCGUAAACUGCUUUUGACAGGGAAGAAUAAGCUGGUCGUGACCAGUGAUGACGGUACCUGCAGAAUAAGCACCGGCUAACUCCGUGCCAGCAGCCGCGGUAAUACGGAGGGUGCGAGCGUUGUCCGGAUUUAUUGGGUUUUAAAGGGUGCGUAGGCGGCCCGUUAAGUCCGGGGUGAAAGCCCGCUGCUCAACAGCGGAACUGCCCUGGAUACUGACGGGCUUGAGUACAGACGAGGUUGGCGGAAUGGACUGAGUAGCGGUGAAAUGCAUAGAUACAGUCCAGAACCCCGAUUGCGAAGGCAGCUGACUAGGCUGUUACUGACGCUGAGGCACGAAAGCGUGGGGAGCGAACAGGAUUAAGAUACC